rnacentral:tRNA from 1 species
GGAGAUGUGGCCGAGUGGCUGAAGGCGGCGGUUUGCUAAACCGUUAUAGGCUUGUAAAGGCCUAUCGAGGGUUCGAAUCCCUCCGUCUCCG